GCACGAUCCAGUCGGCGCGUCGGCCCGCCUCGAGCGCGCCGACGGCACGCCCGGCCGCGCGCGCGCCGCCCGCGAGCGACGCCGCGAACAGCCGGUCCGCCACGCGCGUCUGCGCCGCGUCGGCAAGCACGUUGCGCUCGCGCCGCACGAGCCGCUGCCCGUAUUCGAAGAGCCGCAACUCGGCGCGCCAGUCGACGCUCGCGUGGCUGUCCGAACCGAUGCCGAUCGCGCCGCCCGCCGCGAGAUAGUCGACCGCCGGAAAAAUGCCGUCGCCGAGAUUCGCCUCGGUCGUCGGGCACAGGCCCGCAGUCGCGCCGCUGCGUGCGAGCGCCUGCGUCUCGGCGGCGUCGAGAUGCGUCGCGUGCACGAGGCACCAGCGCGCGUUCACGUCGAAGCGCUCGAGGAGCCACCGCACCGGCCGCGCGCCGUACGCGCGCACGCAAUCGUCGACUUCCGCGGUCUGCUCGGCGAUAUGGAUGUGCACCGGCGCAUCGGCCGGCAUCGCGCCAACGAGCGCUCGCAGCCCGCUUUCCGACACCGCGCGCAGCGAGUGCGGCGCGAUGCCGUAGCGCAGCCCGCCAUGCUCGGGCAACUCGCCGCGCAACGCGUCGACCAGCGCGAGCAGCGCGUCGGGCGUAUUGAUGAAACGACGCUGAUCGUCGCGCGGCGCGCGCUCGCCGAAGCCGCUGUACUGAUACGCGACGGGCAGCAUCGUGAUGCCGAUGCCCGCGUCCCGCGCCGCGCCGACCACGCGCGCGGCCAGCUCCGCGGGCCGCGCAUAGCGCGUGCCGUCCGGUGCGUGAUGAACGUAAUGGAAUUCGCACACCGACGUGUAGCCGCUUUUCAGCAUCUCGACAUAGAGCCAGCGCGCGACCGCGGCGAGCGCGUCGGGCGUGAUCUUCAGCGCGAAGCGGUACAUCAGGUCGCGCCAGCUCCAGAACGUGUCGGACGGGUUCGCGCGAUAUUCGGUGAGCCCCGCCAUCGCGCGCUGAAACGCGUGCGAGUGCAGGUUCGGCAUGCCCGGCAACAGCGGCCCGUUCGCGCGCGCGACGCCCGCGGGCGCCGCCGCAUCCGCGCUCACGUCGACGAGCGCGCCCGCCGCGUUCCAGCGCAGCAGCACGUCGCGCCGCCAGCCGCCGGGCAGAUACGCCUGCUCGGCAAACAACAUCGAAUCGAUUUUCGUCAUGCUCAUCGUCCGGUCAGCGCGCAUCGCGCGUGAACACCGUCACGCCGCCCUUCACGACCCGCUCGCACAGCGGCCGGCCGAACCAGUACGCGAGCUCGGCGAGCGUCGAGACCGACCAUACCGCGAAAUCCGCCUGCCGCCCGGGCGCGAGCGAGCCGUGCCGGUCGCUCGCGCCGAGCGCCGCCGCCGCGUGGCGCGUGACGCCGAGGAGCGCCUCCUGCACGGUCAGCUUGAACACCGUGCAGCCCAUGUUCAUCGUGAGCAGCAGCGACGUGAGCGGCGAGGUGCCCGGAUUGUGAUCGGUCGCGAGCGCGAUCGGCACGCCGUGGCGGCGCAGCAGAUCGAUCGGCGGCAGCUUCGUCUCGCGGAUGAAGUAGUACGCGCCCGGCAGCAGCACGGCCGUCGUGCCCGAUGCACGCAUCGCGGCAACGCCCGCCGCGUCCAGAUAUUCGAGGUGGUCGGCCGACAGCGCGCGAUAGCGCGCGGCGAGCGCGGAGCCGCCGCCGUUCGACAACUGCUCCGCGUGCAUCUUGACGGGCAGCCCGCGCCGCGCCGCCGCUUCGAACACGCGCUCGCUCUGCGCGAGCGUGAAGCCGAUCCGCUCGCAAAACACGUCGACCGCGUCGACGAGCCCUUCGUCGGCGAGCGCGGGCAGCAUCCGUUCGCAAACCUCGUCGAUAUAUUCGUCCGCGCGGCCCGCGUACUCGGGCGGCAGCGCGUGCGCGCCGAGGAACGUCGUAUAGACGCUCACCGGAAAGCGCUCGCCGAGCUGCCGCGCGACGCGCAGCAUCCGCCGCUCGCUCGCGAGUUCGAGCCCGUAGCCGGACUUGAUCUCGAUCGCGGUCACGCCCUCGGCAAGGAGCGGCCGCAGCCGCGCGCACGCCUGCUCGAACAGCGCCGCCUCGCUCGCGUCGCGCGUCGCGCGCACGGUCGAUACGAUGCCGCCGCCGCGCUGCGCGAUCUCCUCGUAGCUCGCCCCCGCCAGGCGCUGCGCGAACUCGUCCGCGCGCUGGCCGCCGUAGACGAGGUGCGUGUGGCAAUCGACGAGGCCGGGCGUCACCCAUGCGCCGCGCAGGUCCUCGCGCGGCCAGUGCACGUAGCCGGCCGGCACGUCGCUCGCGCGCCCGGUCCAGGCGAUCGUGCCGUCGCCGUUCACCGCGAUCGCCGCAUCCGCGAUCGUGUCGUUCGGGUCGCCGUGCGCGCACAGCUUCAGGUUGUGCCAGAGAAUCGAUUUCAUUCGAUCGAGCCUUGUGCGUUGUCUUGAAGAAGCGUCACGCCGACGGCGAGGAGCACGCCCUCGCCGCGAAUCGCGCAUCGGAACUCGCCGUGCGCGCACGCGUCGAUGCGCAGCGUGUCGCAUGCGCCCAGCGCGACGCGCGCGCCGACGCCGAGGUCGACACCGAGAUCGACGACGGGCGCGCCACUCGCGCAGAACAGCAGCACGGUGUCGGCGCGCAGCGCGUGCGACGCGCCGCUGCGCCAGACAUCGACGCUGCCGCGCGCCGCAUCGCGCCGCGUCAUCAGGUUGAAGUCGCGCGUCGGGCCAUCGUGCAGCUCGGCCGCGAUCGCCGCCUCGCCUGCGAACGCGACGCGAUCGAGCGGCGCGCGCAGCGCAUGGCGCGCGCCGCCCGCGUCGACGAGCGUCAUCCCCGCGCCCGCGAGCAGCACGAGCGUGCGGUCGAUGCCGGGAAAGCGCGAGAACGGGCCCGCGUCGGCGACGUCCGCGACGCUCACGCGCCACGCGAACGCAUCGAGCGCGCCGUGGCCGGCGCGCUCGCGCAACGGAUGCGCGGCGAUCUCGCGCGUCACGCCGCCGCCAUUCUUCCACGGCGCCGCGACGAGCGCAUCCGCGCG
rnacentral:rRNA from 1 species